rnacentral:misc_RNA from 1 species
UAAAAACAUUGGAGAUAGUUGAAAAUUAAUUUAUCCAUCCUAUUAAACGAAAGGAAUUCAGUGUUCCCGUUAAAAAGUAAUAUAUACAAAUGCAUGAGAAACGAUAUUCAAAUUCAAAACCAUUCACCUGACAGUUUCUGAAACUGACAAUCAAAACAUUAUGCAUUAAAAUUAAAUUACAUUUUUUUCUCUUCUUCCAGUGGGG